rnacentral:misc_RNA from 1 species
GAUGAAGAACGUAGCGAAAUGCGAUAAGUAAUGUGAAUUGCAGAAUUCAGUGAAUCAUCGAAUCUUUGAACGCAUCUUGCGCUCCUUGGUAUUCCUUGGAGCAUGCCUGUUUGAGUAUCAUGAGCAAAUCUCAAAGUCAAUUCCUUUUGUUGAUUCAAUUGGUUUUGCUUUGGACUUGGAGGCCUUGCAGAUUUCACAGUCUGCUCCUCUUAAAUGCAUUAGCUGGAUCUCAGUAAUUAUGCUUGGUUCCACUCGGCGUGAUAAGUACCACUCGCUGAGGACACUGUUAAAAAGGUGGCCAGGAAAAUACUGAUUGAACCGCUUCUAACGGUCUAUUAAGUUAGACAAUUACCCUUAAGUUUGAUCUCAAAUCAGGUAGGACUACCCGCUGAACUUAAGCAUAUCAAUAAGCGGAGGA